rnacentral:lncRNA from 13 species
AUGGAUAUCAGUCUAACAAUUUCCCUAAUGCGGGGACAGAUGGGUACCGUGAUAGAGAGAGCGGUUAGUGCCGCUGUUGAGACGGUGUUGGGAGAGAUGCUUAGAGUGGUCGGCAUUAAAUUCGACGAGCUGAAGAUGGAGGUAGUAGCUAAAGAGAAAGAGGCGGAGAACAUAAGACAGAUGCUGGAGAUAUCCCGAUCUCAGAUUAAGACCAUGCGGAAACACAUGAACGCUCUGGAUGAGAACGCGCACUCUGCCACUUAUCAGACCUACCGGACAGCAUUCGGCCAUUCUGAUCCCCGCAGAAUUCACGGUUCCUCCGAGGCCGCACUGUCCUCGGGUUUACCACAGCCGCCGAGAAGGACGGUUCCAAACAACAACCAAAUUCCCACUACAAAUGGAAACGUACAGGCAAGGAAUCGAGUCACCAUCACCAUACCCUCUGAGAAUAUGGUCAGGGCCACCCAGCCCUCUGAUAAUUUGGUCAGGGCCACCCAGCCUUCUGAUAACUUGGUCAGGGCCACCCAGCCCUCUGACAAUUUAGUCAGGGCCACCCAGCCCUCUGACAAUUUAGUCAGGGCUACCCAGCCCUCUGAUAAUUUGGUCAGGGCCACCCAGCCCUCUGAUAAUUUGGUCAGGGCCACCCAGCCCUCUGAUCAUUUGGUCAGGGCCACCCAGCCCUCUGAUAAUAUGGUAACCGUUAGGGCAACAUCCUUUGACAGUCACGAUGAUCUGACAACUGUGAUCUCCCCGACUCUGGAGGACCGGACAUUGACACCCACUGUCUCUGCAAUGAACAGUUCAUCAGAGCAUCUGGAACCUUUGAAAGAGGAGCCCCCAGCCCUCCUAGACCCCAAGGUGUCUGAUGAGAGCCAGAGGAGGGAGGAGGAAGAAGAGUGUCAGGCUGAGUGGACCAUAAGUACACAGCCACCAGAGACAAGCACAGACCCGGGGGCCCAGCUGGUCCUCUCCCCUCCCAGGACUGACGGAGCAGACUGCUCUGCCAGGAGUGUACUGCCAUCCUCCCAGCCCCUGUCCCAGUUCCAAGUGAAAGAGGAGGAAGCUGAGGUGGAGAUCAUCUGUAUCAAACAGGAACCAGAGGAGGUGGAGACCCUGCUGAUAAACCUGGCUGCCGAAGGCUUCAACUCGCAGGGCAACCUUUUAGAUAGGCAGACUCAGGGCAACCUCCUCCUGGACAGUCAUAGGACCAUCCCAGGCUCUCAAAGCCAGAGGGAUAGGAGAGCACCCUGUCCACCACAGAGCCAGAGGACCUUAGCAGAGAAUACACCCUUCACCUCAGCCGACUCUUGUUCAUAUGGGCUGUCCCAGGCAGUGAUGUCCAUGUCAGGAGUUGCUCCCAGGCCCAUGGUGCGUCCGUGGCCCAAGGACCUGAGUCUGUACGAGGAGUUUAAAAUGAGACGAACUGAGCUGAGGAGGAGGAGCCAGAACCGUCAGAGGGAGAUGGAGAAGAAUCUUCCCCAGCCUCUAUUAGCUGACCUGGUGAAGGAGAGACGGGAGAAGACCCGGCUCAGAGUGGCCCGCUGGAGAGCCAAGAGGAAGCUGCAGGCCUGUCUACUGACUCAGAUGACCCAACAGACACAACACCAACAGACUGGACCUGGACUGGGCCAGGGGAAUAGUCUGAACAGUGGGCUGGGGAAUCAUAGCCAGAUUAGCCACCACACGCAACACAAAACCACAGGCCCCACUCAGACUCCUCAGAGGAACAAUGCUGCCGUCUCUCAAUCGCAAUACAAUAACAGUUUUUUGUACAACAGAAGUCACUGUGAGACUGGGGCUGGUAACGUUAACUACCCUCCUCUCCAGUUCAACUCCUCCUCUCUAAUGCUGGGGCAACAUGGAGGACACAAUAUGGUG